rnacentral:rRNA from 1 species
UACGUAGGGUGCUAGCGUUGUUCGGAAUCAUUGGGCGUAAAGCGCGUGUAGGUGGUCAGUAAAGUUGGGUGUGAAAUCCCUCGGCUCAACCGAGGAAGUGCACUCAAAACUCACUGGCUUGAGAGUGGUAGAGGAAGGUGGAAUUCCUAGUGUAGAGGUGAAAUUCGUAGAUAUUAGGAGGAAUACCGGAGGCGAAGGCGGCCUUCUGGACCAUUUCUGACACUGAGACGCGAAAGCGUGGGUAGCAAAC